ACGUGAGUAGCGGUGCAAAUAAGUUCAUAUUUCAUUCACUUGGAAAGUCUAAUAACUAAAAAUGGCAACAAGUUCUUCGCAAACAACUGCUUCACAGCGUAAUUUAAGUGAAUUGAAAAGUCAUCAAUACGAAAUACAAAAUUUUGUGAAGAUCAGCCAACAAGUCGAGUUCCUCAAUUUUGAUGUGGAGAAUUGCAAUGUCUUCUCGAAUCGAACAAUUUGAAUAUAACCUGUGAGAAAGAUGUCUAUGGUGCCAUAACUCGUUGGUUUAAU